rnacentral:rRNA from 1 species
CGAAGUGGCAAAUACCAUGCUUCCAGGAAAAGCUUCUAAGCAAUAGUUAUAAACGAAUCGUACCCUAAACCGACACAGGUGAUCAGGUAGAGAAUACCAAGGCGCUUGAGAGAACUCUGCUGAAGGAACUAGGCAAAAUGGUACCGUAACUUCGGGAGAAGGUACGCUGUUGGUGGUGAUAGGACUUGCUCCUUGAGCUGCUGGCAGUCGCAGAUACCAGGCUGCUGCAACUGUUUAUUAAAAACACAGCACUCUGCAAACACGAAAGUGGACGUAUAGGGUGUGAUGUCUGCCCGGUGCUGGAAGGUUAAUUGAUGGGCUUAGCGUAAGCGAAGGUCUUGAUCGAAGCCCCAGUAAACGGCGGCCGUAACUAUAACGGUCCUAAGGUAGCGAAAUUCCUUGUCGGGUAAGUUCCGACCUGCACGAAUGACAUAAUGAUGGCAGCGCUGUCUCCAGCAGAGACUCAGUGAAAUCGAAAUCGCAGUGAAGAUGCUGUGUACCCGCGGCUAGACGGAAAGACCCCGUGAACCUUUACUACAGCUUUACAUUGAACUUUGACCUGACUUGUGCAGGAUAGGUGGGAGGCUUUGAAACCGAGACGCCAGUCUUGGUGGAGCCAUCCUUGAAAUACCACCCUGGUCAUGUUGGGGUUCUAACUCAGGUAUCACAAUACCGAGGACAAUGUAUGGUGGGUAGUUUGACUGGGGCGGUCUCCUCCUAAAGAGUAACGGAGGAGUACGAAGGUGCGCUCAGACCGGUCGGAAAUCGGUCGAAGAGUAUAAAGGCAAAAGCGCGCUUAACUGCGAGACCCACAAGUCGAGCAGGUACGAAAGUAGGUCUUAGUGAUCCGGUGGUUCUGUAUGGAAGGGCCAUCGCUCAACGGAUAAAAGGUACUCUGGGGAUAACAGGCUGAUACCGCCCAAGAGUUCAUAUCGACGGCGGUGUUUGGCACCUCGAUGUCGGCUCAUCUCAUCCUAGGGCUGAAGCAGGUCCUAAGGGUAUGGCUGUUCGCCAUUUAAAGAGGUACGCGAGCUGGGUUUAGAACGUCGUGAGACAGUUCGGUCCCUAUCUACCGUGGGCGUUGGAAAUUUGAGAGGAUCUGCUCCUAGUACGAGAGGACCAGAGUGGACGAACCACUGGUGUUCGGGUUGUCAUGCCAAUGGCAUUGCCCGGUAGCUACGUUCGGAUGGGAUAACCGCUGAAAGCAUCUAAGCGGGAAGCCCACCUCAAGAUUAGAUUUCCCUAAAGAGCCGUUCAAGACUAGGACGUUGAUAGGCAGGGUGUGGAAGCACAG